UACAGAGGAGCCAAGCGUUGUCCGGAUUGACUGGGCGUAAAGCGCACGCAGGCGGGGGUGCGCGUGGGGUGUGAAAUCUGGCCGCUUAACGGCCAGGCGCCAUCCCAUACGGCACGCCUGGAGCCUUGCAGAGGUCGGUGGAAUUGCCGGUGUAGUGGUGAAAUGCGUAGAGAUCGGCAGGAACACCCAGGGGGAAACCAGCCGACUGGGCAAGUGGCUGACGCUGAGGUGCGAAAGCGUGGGGAGCAAACAGG
rnacentral:rRNA from 1 species